ACAUCCAGAGAAUUUAGCAGAGAUGCUUUAGUGCCUUCGGGAACUCUGAGACAGGUGCUGCAUGGCUGUCGUCAGCUCGUGUUGUGAAAUGUUGGGUUAAGUCCCGNAACGAGCGCAACCCUUUAUCCUUUGUUGCCAGCACGUAAUGGUGGGAAACUCAAAGGAGACUGCCGGUGAUAAACCGGAGGAAGGUGGGGAUGACGUCAAGUCAUCAUGGCCCUUACGAGUAGGGCUACACACGUGCUACAAUGGCGCAUACAAAGAGAAGCGACCUCGCGAGAGCAAGCGGACCUCAUAAAGUGCGUCGUAGUCCGGAUUGGAGUCUGCAACUCGACUCCAUGAAGUCGGAAUCGCUAGUAAUCGUAAAUCAGAAUGUUACGGUGAAUACGUUCCCGGGCCUUGUACACACCGCCCGUCACACCAUGGGAGUGGGUUGCAAAAGAAGUAGAUAGCUUAACCUUCGGGAGGGCGUUUACCACUUUGUGAUUCAUGACUGGGGUGAAGUCGUAACAAGGUAAGCGUAGUGCU
rnacentral:rRNA from 1 species